AAAGGGAACGUAGACGGUGAUGUAAGUCUGGAGUGAAAGGCGGGGGCUCAACCCCGGGACUGCUUUGGAAACUGCCUGACUGGAGUGCUGGAGAGGCAAGCGGAAUUCCUAGUGUAGCGGUGAAAUGCGUAGAUAUUAGGAAGAACACCAGUGGCGAAGGCGGCUUGCUGGACAGUAACUGACGUUGAGGCUCGAAAGCGUGGGGAGCAAACAG
rnacentral:rRNA from 1 species